GACGAACCGAGCGAACGUUAUUCGGAAUCACUGGGCUUAAAGGGCGCGUAGGCGGGCUGUCAAGUCUGGGGUGAAAUCCCACGGCUACAACCGUGGAACUGCCUUAGAUACUGACGGCCUCGAGGAAGGUAGGGGCAUGCGGAACUGUAGGUGGAGCGGUGAAAUGCGUUGAUAUCUAACAGGAACUCCGGUGGCGAAAGCGGACGUGCCUGGACCUUUCGACGCUGAGGCGCGAAAGCUGAAGGGGAGCAA
rnacentral:rRNA from 1 species